rnacentral:rRNA from 1 species
UACGGAGGGUGCAAGCGUUAUCCGGAAUUACUGGGCGUAAAGCGCACGUAGGCGGACCUUUAAGUCAGGGGUGAAAUCCCGGGGCUCAACCUCGGAACUGCCUUUGAUACUGGAGGUCUCGAGACCGGAAGAGGUGAGUGGAAUUCCUAGUGUAGAGGUGAAAUUCGUAGAUAUUAGGAAGAACACCAGUGGCGAAGGCGGCUCACUGGUCCGGUUCUGACGCUGAGGUGCGAAAGCGUGGGGAGCAAACAGG